CGCAUCUUGCGCUCCAUGGUAUUCCGUGGAGCAUGCCUGUUUGAGUGUCACGUCAACCCUCACCCUUGCGAUGUCACAAUCGUACGUGGUGGAUUUGGACCGUGCCGUAGUCGGCUCGUCCUGAAAUGCAUUAGCUUGCGCUUUUAGAGUGCUGGGCACCGGUGUGAUAAUUAUCUGCGCCAACGCCUUAGGCCUCUUCAGCGGCGCUGCUUACAGUCGUCCGUCUUUGGACAAUUUAUAAAGCUUUGGCCUCAAAUCAGGUAGGACUACCCGCUGAACUUAA
rnacentral:misc_RNA from 1 species